GGAUGUCAAAGGUAUGUCUCAGAAAAGUUUAAAAAUUUUUGGGCGGGAUUCGGGGCAUGUUUGGACCAUGGAGGCAAUGAGCCUCCAUGAUAGGGACGCAUCGUAGAGGCUAUUCCCUCGAUAUAGGGUCCUCGCCGUGUAGGCUAUUCCCCCGAUAUAGGGUCCACACCACAGAGGUUAUUCCUCCAUAAUUAGGUCCGCGAUACGGAGGCAUUGUAUUUAACAACAACAAUAACAACAACAACAACAUACCCAGAGUAUUUCCACCUAGUGGGGUCUGGGGAAGGUAGAGUGUACGCAGACCAUACCACUACCUCAAGAGAAGUAGAGAGGCUAUUUCUGAUAGAGCCCCAGCUUAGGACCAAUAACAGUAUAACAAAUACAAAAAGUAAGAGAAUACAAACUAGUAUGGUACACAAAACAAACUAAAAGUAUAACAAACACAAA
rnacentral:lncRNA from 1 species